rnacentral:rRNA from 1 species
UACGGGGGGGGCAAGCGUUGUUCGGAAUUACUGGGCGUAAAGGGCUGUAGGCGGCCAACUAAGUCGGAUGUGAAAUCCCCAGGCUUAACCUGGGAACUGCAUCCGAUACUGGAUCGGCUUGAAUCCGGGAGAGGGAUGCAGAAUUCCAGGUGUAGCGGUGAAAUGCGUAGAUAUCUGGAGGAAUACCGGUGGCGAAGGCGGCAUCCUGGACCGGCAUUGACGC